rnacentral:rRNA from 1 species
GACGAACGCUGGCGGCGUGCCUAAUACAUGCAAGUCGAACGCUUCUUUCCUCCCGAGUGCUUGCACUCAAUUGGAAGGAGGAGUGGCGGACGGGUGAGUAACACGUGGGUAACCUACCCAUCAGAGGGGGAUAACACUUGGAAACAGGUGCUAAUACCGCAUAACAGUUUAUGCCGCAUGGCAUAAGAGUGAAAGGCGCUUUCGGGUGUCGCUGAUGGAUGGACCCGCGGUGCAUUAGCUAGUUGGUGAGGUAACGGCUCACCAAGGCCACGAUGCAUAGCCGACCUGAGAGGGUGAUCGGCCACACUGGGACUGAGACACGGCCCAGACUCCUACGGGAGGCAGCAGUAGGGAAUCUUCGGCAAUGGACGAAAGUCUGACCGAGCAACGCCGCGUGAGUGAAGAAGGUGUUCGGAUCGUAAAACUCUGUUGUUAGAGAAGAACAAGGACGUUAGUAACUGAACGUCCCCUGACGGUAUCUAACCAGAAAGCCACGGCUAACUACGUG